rnacentral:rRNA from 1 species
ACGCUCGACACCUACGGGAGCAGCAGUGGGGAAUAUUGCACAAUGGGGGAAACCCUGAUGCAGCGACGCCGCGUGAGCGAAGAAGUAUUUCGGUAUGUAAAGCUCUAUCAGCAGGGAAGAAAUUGACGGUACCUGACUAAGAAGCACCGGCUAAAUACGCGCCAGCACGCCGGACGGUAAUCUGGAGGCGGGCGUGGACGAAGGC